AAUGGAUUUUGAUAGAGUUUGAUUGAAGUUCAAUUCAAAGGAAUGUUGAAGUUUUAUUUUUUUAUUUUAAUUUUUAAUUGUGGAUGGGUUUUUGCAUGGUUUGAGAAAUGGGUUUUUAGUUGGGAAUAGGUUUUUAGUUUGUGAUGCAGCAUAUGAAGUUUAAAGUUUAUAUAGGAAUAUUAAUUAUUAUAGAGUUAGGAAAUUUAAAGAAUUUUUAUUAUUUAGGAAUUUUAUU
rnacentral:misc_RNA from 1 species